rnacentral:rRNA from 1 species
UACGGAGGGUGCGAGCGUUGUCCGGAAUCAUUGGGCGUAAAGGGCGCGUAGGUGGCCCGGCAAGCGUGCGGUGAAAGUCGGGGGCUCAACCCCCGAUCGGCCGUGCGAACUGCGGGGCUGGAGCACUGUAGAGGCAGGCGGAAUUCCGGGUGUAGCGGUGGAAUGCGUAGAGAUCCGGAAGAACACCGGUGGCGAAGGCGGCCCGCUGGGCAGUGACUGACGCUGAGGCGCGACAGCGUGGGGAGCAAACAGG